rnacentral:rRNA from 1 species
GAUGAACGCUAGCGGCAGGCUUAAUACAUGCAAGUCGAACGGUAAGUUUGGUAGCAAUAUCAAACCAAGAGUGACGUACGGGUGCGUAACACGUAUGCAACCUACCUUGUACAGGAGUAUAGCUCGGGGAAACUCGAAUUAACCCUCCAUGAGAUCACAGUGUGGCAUCACACAGUGAUUAAAACUCAGGUGGUACAAGAUGGGCAUGCGUCUGANAGUUAGUUGGCGGGGUAAUGGCCCACCAAGACGAUGAUCAGUAGGGGACCUGAGAGGGUGAU